rnacentral:rRNA from 1 species
GAGACUCUGUGCGCGUGCAUAUCAAUAAGCGGAGGAAAAGAAACUAACAAGGAUUCCCUUAGUAACGGCGAGUGAAGCGGGAAGAGCUCAAAUUUGAAAUCUUCAAGGUUCUACCUUGACGAAUUGUAGUUUAUAGAAGUGUUUUCUGUUAGUAGAGUGGCAAAAGUUCUUUGGAAUAGGACAUCAUAGAGGGUGAGAAUCCCGUAUUUGGUCAUUCUUUCUAGCUUUGUGAUACACUUUCAACGAGUCGGAUUGUUUGGGAAUGCAGUCCAAAAUGGGUGGUAAAUUUCAUCUAAAGCUAAAUAUUGGCGAGAGACCGAUAGCGAACAAGUACCGUGAGGGAAAGAUGAAAAGAACUUUGAAAAGAGAGUUAAACAGUACGUGAAAUUGUCAAAAGGGAAGCGUUUGACACCAGUGUUGUUUUUCCGAAAAUCAAUUACGCAUGUUUUGUUUUUGAGAAGUUAUGACUUCAUCGGCUUGCUUCUCUCUUUACGAAACUUUCUUAAUGCACUUUUCGGUUAACAAGUCAACAUCAAUUUCUUUUGUUGUAAAAGGGUAUGAGGAAGGUGGCUUUCUUUUCGGAGAAAGUGUUUAUAGCCUUGUACCUCUGCAAUCGGAGAGAUUGAGGUCUGCAGCGUAGAUCCUUCGGGGUUAGAUACAUUUGUGCUAAGUUAUAGCUUUUCAUAGACAACUUGUUGACUAUGUUAAGUCUUGUAGCUUACUCGCUUAUGCUAUUUUACCUACGCUUAGGAUGUUGAAGAUGUAGCACAUCAU